CUGAGUCCAGUAUACUGUUUAUGUCUCCCUAGGGCAUAAACAGCACAUCUGCCAACCAGUAGCCCUGCUACCCUUCCAGAGAAGGCAGAAGAAUAAUAAACAUAAACUGAGAGGAAGGGGGAGGCCAGCAAGGACAGUACUGCCCACUUAAGAUGACGUCCUAUGGGUGGCCGUGGACACGGUCUCAAAGAGAUAAAGAAAUGGGAAAGAAAAAGUUAGGAAAUUUUUUUUGAAAAUUUCUUCUACUCCAAAAUGUCAUCUGUAAGAGGAGAAGGGACUUCAAAAUGACAGGGCAUGAAACACUUGGCCCACAGGAUGUUAACAGGCAUUGCUCACAAGAAGCCUUCAGGAUGGAAAUGUUGUGAAAAUCCUGCUUAAAAAAUGUUAGGAAGACUUUGUUUCAUCUCUAUCUUCUCAAAUCUUUUUCCCUGGAUGCAACACCCAUGUGACUCUCUGAGAACACGAGAUUGCCUACUUCUCCAGAUUUUCACAAAUACCUGGUAAGACUGUUUGAAAGGCAAUGGAAGUACAUUUGCAUAGAUAUAUGUUUUAUCUCAUUUUUUUAUUCCUUGGAUUUUCAAUGGAAAUUUUAGAAAGGGAGAAAAUAAAGAACUUGAUAUAAGAUUAUCAUCUUUGACUGGAAUGGCUCCCCUUCAGCCCAAUUAGAUUUUAACUGAAGGAAGUUAUUUAUGUUUCUAAUAUAAAACAGUAAAGAAGUCAUGUUCGA